UCCGGAGUCGUCCAACGGCCAGGACAUGCGGCUUUGACCCGCAGAACGAAGGUUCGAAUCCUUCCUCCGGAG
rnacentral:tRNA from 1 species